rnacentral:rRNA from 1 species
AACGAACGCUGGCGGCGCGCUUAACACAUGCAAGUCGAACGAGAAGGCGUAGCAAUACGCUUGUAGAGUGGCGAACGGGUGAGUAAUACGUGGGUGACCUACCCUCGAGUGGGGAAUAACCCGCCGAAAGGCGGGCUAAUGCCGCGUACGCUUCCGUCCUCACGGGGACGGAAGGAAAGCUGUACCGUGGGUACGGCGCUCAAGGAUGGGCUCACGUCCUAUCAGCUUGUUGGUAGGGUAACGGCCACCAAGGCUACGACGGGUAGCUGGUCUGAGAGGACGAUCAGCCACACUGGCACUGCGACACGGGCCAGACUCCUACGGGAGGCAGCAGUGAGGAAUAUUGCGCAAUGGGCGAAAGCCUGACGCAGCGACGCCGCGU